AACUCUAAGCGGUGGAUCACUCGGCUCAUGGGUCGAUGAAAACGCAGCAACUGUGCGUCAUCUGUGACUGCAGAACAUGACUCGACUUUGACGCAAUCGAACCAUGCGGUAGGCCUUAUUAAUUUAUGGCCGCUGUCACAAAGGGUGAGGUGAAACAGCAAUAGUGUUU
rnacentral:rRNA from 1 species